GCGGCUGUGGGAAGCGGCCCCGCACCACGUGCUCGCCUUGCGCAUGCGUAUCCCGCGGGGCCGGGCCCUCGGCGUCCUGACAGCCCUCCACCCCCCUCCUAUAGGUAGAGAUGCGUGUGCACACAUGCCAUAGCUGUCCUGACUGGGAUGGAAGUCGACAAUUGAAUGAACAUAAACAGACUCCUGCUCCCUUUUUAUCUAAAUAUAUUUGAAGAAAUGAGGUUUUAUACAAUACAAAUAUCUUCACACACUUCUUCACUUGAAAAAGAAGGCAUCUGUGGUAUAAUACAGUCUCGCUUGCCCAAACUGACAUCUCCAAAAAUGAUCUUCAUGCAUAUUAAAAUAACCUCUGUAUGGCUAUGAUGAGUUAAAUUGGUACUGUGA